rnacentral:lncRNA from 1 species
CUUGAAGCAUGAGGAUGUGGAUGACAGUCAGAGAGAGAAAGAGCAACAGAGCUGCGAUGAACAGCAUGUACUGAUUUUCUGCUUCUUGUCACUCUGCUCUCUCUGCUUGUCUUUGACUCACAACUCAAUGUUCUUUCCUGUUUCGCUCGUUUCAGGUCUGGGAUGUGCUCCUUCUCACCUCUGCGCUCUCCCUAAUUUUGCAUCGGGAGAGUUUAGCCGAGAUCGCCUGCGGCAGAAGCAUAAGUGCUAUUCUAAAAUAGGCAGCUAAUCUGCAGUUGCUGCGCUUAAAAUACAGACUUUGACAGGUUUAAAAAAAGAAGUAUGUCAUUACACUUCCUGUAAUAACAUCAAAACAAGGGGAGAAGUGCUAAAAGGGUUAGAGUAAAACUCUUCAAUCUGUUUUCUGGGCUUAAAACCCUGACGUCUGGAAGUUUAGCAGGAUGAGAGAGACUUUUGAAGGAGCUACAGAAGUCCAAAUACACAAAGAUCAAAAGUAGGAAGAGCGUCUUCAGAUUACUGGAUGAUGUUAAAAACUCUUUCCAGAUAUUUUUAACAUGUGGAGCAAGAAACUGCACCUAUUUACAACACUUACGAAAGAGAAGAGACGUUGAUCGGCCUGUUUUAGCCUUGAAUUACAUGAGGACCAAUGCCACUGUGCAAAAAAUAAUUGUAUUACUGACUUAAGGUGGUGGAAAAAUGAUCAGUCACUUUUUAGUUUGUUACCUUGACAAAAAGAAACCAAAUCCCACUUGAAAAGAGUCUCAAACUGUAAAACAUUCACUGUCGACACGUCACAUCCAGCCAGGUUGAUCAGAUCACCUGUAGGCAGCCUAAAGCACAGGUACAAACUCAGGCUGCAGGGUAUUUACUUUGAGCACCACAAUUCUCAAAUGUGCAUCUGUGAUAGUCACAACGCAGGAGGUGUAGCGUCAGUCGUAUGACCUGAAGAUGUCUUAGUGUUGCCUCUUUUUCGUUGUUGGUUAAAUCACUUUUAUUCAGCGGCUCAUUAAAGGCAUGGUUGAUGACUGGAGAUAUUGGUAAUUAUUGUGAACCUCGUUUAUGUGGUGAUCAUGGUCCUAUAGUGCGAACUCCACAAAGUGAAGAGAAAAAAGAACGGAAAAAAACGUUCAGGGCUGCAAAAACAUUGACCAAUAGGAGCCAUUCGUCCCAGACAGCUCAUAUUGGUCGAUCUCCUGCUCCGCCUCUCCAUCCAAUCACCUCGCUGAAUUCGACACACCCUUCUCCCUUACUUCCGACUCGUCCCCUCCCACUCUCCCAGCCCUCUUCGGAGCUCUGAGCAGCUAAAAGUAGCGUAGCAGCUUAGUUACAGGAGCUGUGAUGGAGAAGGACGGAAAAAAACACUUCUGCUCGCCCCAACGUCAAAAGUAAUACGAAAACUUAAGCCGGCAGAAGAAAGGGCAGAGUCGAAGAAGAAAUGUGACCAAGCGAGGAAUCUAAAUCGAAUAGACAACAGGUCAUCCUUCGAGUGGUGGAGAAAGCUCCGCCAGGAUUUGGGCCUGAAAACAGACGCCGAGACAGCAGAGUUUUUGCCUUUUAUCGUGGCUCAUGAUACAUAAAUAACUCUUAUUAGUCUCUGCAGUGUCAACACAGUAGCUGUCCAGGCAGCUGCAGAUGGCGCUCGCUAGCAAAGCUAGUGUUUACUGCCGCUAGUCACUAGCAAUCCAACAUAGUGAAUCCUAUUUGAAGCUAGCGUAGGAUCUUCUGCCGGCCGGCUUUUUGCUCUGUCAGAGGGGGUGCGUCGUGGGGAGGGCGAUACAGGUUCAGGGGGGAGUUAUCAUGGAGCACAGAGGGGGGAGAUUUGUGGGGGACUGGGACGCUUUUUUCAAAUCUGCCUCAACGGCUCAGUUUUUUUCAACUGCUUCUCCAAUCGUCAACAAACAGGAUCACAGACCGUUUACUAUUAGAAUCACGGGGCUUGUGGCGCAGAUGAAACAUUAUUUCCAACAUCGACAGGAGGGAGAUUUGAUUUGAAAGCAGGAAAUGGAUUUAAAGGUUUUAAAAUAAAAGUAAUCAUAACAAAUGUGCUGUUCAAUUUUCAAUUUCUAAGCACUUCAAAUGUGCUGCGUUUAUCAGUUUUUUUAUACUGCAGAAAGAAAAGAGCUUGUAAUAAAUGCACUUCAGUAAAUAAGAUGACUGAAUCACAUCAUUAUAAAAUAAAGUACUAAAAAAGGGGCAAGAAAUCUGCCUUACAGAUAAAAUUACAUGAAAUUACGUGUAUAAGUAAUUACUUAUAUGCCUGUUCAGUCCUACACUCGGCGAUAAAUCAAUGCAGCACCAGAACAUCACCACGCACAGGAGAAGAAAUCCACCUCCAACCCCGAAGCCAUUUACUGACAGCAUCUACACUAUAGGUUUUUGGAGUCACUAAUGUUGGUGCAGUUAUUCACCUUUGGCUCUCCUCUGCGUGCGCGUCAAUUCCCAUCAAUAUCUCAGCCGAUGCACCCUGGGAUUGUGGGUAAAUGUCACACAUCUUACACAAUCCCACGGCCACCAAAUCUUAUCAGCAAAGCCGCGGUAACUAAGGCAUCGGAGAGCAUCCUGAGCGACCCCCAUCGUAACUUAUGCUAAAAGGCCCUAGUGGUUGCCAUGACAACUAGUAGGAAAACAAGAAGGGGAGAGAUGGAGGGAAAAAAAAGUUGGAACUGCAUACAUUCGCAAACACCUCCGGGCACGCAAACAAAAACAACGCAUUAGUAAACGGAGAAGAAAAAAAUGUUAAGAUGCUGAUAUUCAACUCCAAGUCUCUCUCUAUCAUCAUCAUCAUCAGCCUCUGUUGUAGGUCCAUCACACAGCAUGUGGAUACACACACAAUGUGAGAGUGUAAUGUGGUGACAGCCUGACUGCGGCGUGUUAGAGCGAGUUCACAUGAAUGCUGAUUAGGAAAAAUAUCUGAACAUUUUGUUCUGCUGCGAAAGAAGCGUCUCCUUCCUGUCAGCUCCGAAAGUGGAGUUUGAAUUCCCCGGUAACCUCUCUCCUUUGAUUUCUACGCCUUCUCUUCAUAUCGCUGUUAAAAUCUCUUGUGUCAUCUUUAUGUAUGAUGUUUCCUAACGAGCAUGAAUGCAGAUCAACAUGGGAUUUGUGUUUUCCCCGGCAUUUGCGCUUCGCUAGUUUUUAUUUACAGAUUCCACAUGAAUAUAUACAAUCAGUGUCUAACGGCUGGAUUUUAGAUGGCAUGUAAAGAGUUUUAGUUCCCAUUUGUAGUGCGUGUAUCCCCUGUGCCAAUCUGAGGAUGAUUUAUUCAUCUCUAUAAAAAGCUAUCUGCAUGUAAAUUUAUUUCCAGACUUCGUAAAAUGCAUCAGAAACGUUGCAAAGAGGGUUUCCAGGUCCGUCUCUGCUCUUUGUUUACGAUGUGGUUCUCUCGGCGUCUUCAGGCUGGGAACUCCAACAGGCUUUGGGUUGGUGUGCAGCUGAGUGCCAAGUGGCUGGGGUGAGAGUCAGCACCUCCAAAUCCAAGGAAAAGAGUGAGGAGUGAGUCUCUAAAGUGAAGGAGUUCAAGUAUCCCUGACUUUCCUCUGAAGGGUGCCUCAGCCUUAGAAAUUAGGUUAGAAGGAGUAGAGCCGACGCUCCUUCACAUUAAAAGGUGGUUUGGGUAUUUGAUAAGGAUGCAUCUUUGACUCUUUGGAGGUGUUCCAGGCACAUCAAACCGGGACAAGACCCCAGGGUAUAGGCCCAGAGCUGGCUGAAGGGAUUAAAUAUCCCACCUGGCCUGGAGAUGCCUGGGAAUCCUGAAGAAGGACCUGGAAAGUGGUUCUGGUGGAAGAGAGAGAUUUGGGUCAACUAGCUUGCCCGCAUGUCUUGACCCCAGAUUAAAAGUUUUCUUCCUUUCUUGGGGCUAACUAAAGUUUCUACACAGAGUCUAGUGAAGUUUAAGUGUUAUAAGUCAGAGCAAGGCUUUAAUGUAGAAGCCAAGUUUAAGUCUGUCAGUCAAGAGUGGGCUGGAAAAAACUAAAAAGUACGGUGGCCCUGAGGUGCAAAACACAACGGGAAAUCAUAAAAAAAAAAAAAAAAAAAGAGUUAAUACAACAGCAAAUGGGAAAAAAACAACACAAAAAGCCAAAUCACAACAGCAAAUUAGAAAAACCAGUGACAAAAAGAGAAAACACAACAACAAAACACAACGGCAAAUGGGAAAACGCAACACAAAAAAGAGAAAACACAACGGCAAAUUAUAAUACACAAUAAAAAAACCAAAACACAACAGCAAUCCAGAGAACACAACACAAAUAGAUAAAACACAAUGGCAAAUCAGAAAACACAGCAUUUACAAUUGUUUUGCCUUUUUUGUCAUUGUGUUUUCUGAAUUGCUGUUGUUUUCUUAUUUGGUGGUGUGUUUUCCAUUUGUGUUUUUGUCUCUUUUGCCGUUGUGUUUUCUCUUUAAGUGUUGUGUUUUCUCCUUUUGUGUUGUGUUUUCCGAUUUGCCGUUGUGUUUUCUUUUUGUGUUUUUUUCUCUUUUGCCGUUGUGUUUUCUCUUUAUGUGCUGUGUUUUGCCGUUGUGUUUUGCACCUUAAAGGCCACCAUAAAAAAGUCAGCAACAUGAGCUAUAAAUAGCCAAAAGCCUCCAGGAUUGAACAAGUGUUUUUUUCAACAUCUCCCGUGCCUUUUCACUUCGCAUUUCAACUUAACCCAAACUUCUGCCUGAAGAAUGACCAUCUCCACCACUGGAAAAGAAGCCGCCCAUCCCAAAGGCAUCCCUGGUUCCCAGAGGCAUACGUCGUUUUCAGAUGAUAGCCUGAGAUAAGUGCUUCACCAAUCUGUUCCUGUAUAGAUGUAUCACAGACCAUUCCUUCCCUGAGGCCCAUCUGUGCCCGCACAUCUGACAGCCUCCUGCCAACUUGGGUGCUAAUUAGAAGAUAAAGCUGUGGGAGAAAUUUGUCUUUCUUCCUAAACAAUGGACUGCAACAAAGCAAGUUAUUAGACUGGUCAAAGCACUGAUUCCAGCACUUCCAAUUAACCCGACAACAAGGUGACGUCUCAGCCACAAAGAGACAUAAAUCCAAGGCAGGCAGAAGAAGCGGCUCCUCUUUUUAAAAAGAGAUGAUUUAAAGUAAUGGGAUGUAAAUGAAUUAAGAUAAGUGAGUUUAGAGAAUAGAUGGUGGAAUAAAAAUAAAACAGUUCAAUGAUAAAUUAAAGAACAGAUAUAUGAAGUAGAGAAAGGCCAUCUGAGGUAAAAUCAUGCCACAGUCUAAGUGCAACUGGGCGCUUUUCCACUUUUGUAAGGUAAUACAAUUAGAUGCCAUAAAUUGAUGGCAGAACUGAGCUAAGCAAUCUAAUUUAAGUCAGUAUUGAUUGAUCUGCCAGCUGGGGGAGGAAAAAAAAACAGGAAAAAAAUCUAUAUCUUUCCCAAAUGUAAGAAUUUCAUUGCUGGAAGAUUCAGCGAAGUCAAGGAGUUGGAACUUUUUUUUUUUAACGUUGUCCAACCAUGUCAUCAUUAUUCUUCAUUUUUGACAGAAAUAGUAAAUGGAAACACGGCAGCAUGAAAAUCAUUGUUUUAGCUAUUAACAUGAAGGUCAUCUGUUCUCAAAAACUGAAAUCAAUAAGUCAUAUAUCAAUAGAGCAUUGUCAACCACUUAAAUCAAACAGUGAUUCCAGUCAAAAAGAGUGACAUGUAUGAGAAAGAUGAGCUUGCAAGUUCUGGAAAUCUCCAAAGACUGAUGAGAGACAAAUUUAGGUUCAAAAACACAGAGGCAACAAUGGACUCAUUUUAAAACCAUAAAUCAUAUUUGGCGACAACACCUUUUUAUGACCAUAUGACUGAAACAGUAAAUACUUGAAAUGUCUUAAUCCGGGUGUGGAAGUCAACACAAACCACGAGCUCCUCACAAAAUGAUACUGUGAAUGUGGCCAAAGUAAGCAGACCUAGCACCACCUUCUUGCAGGUAAAUGUUCACAUGGCUGUUCUGGUUAGAUUCCGGUUUAAUCUAUGGGUGUACCGAGACAACUUUUUUACUACCGAUACAAUACCGACAGUAUUGACUGAUACCGAUAUUGGCACAAAAUCGUGCAUGACAAGUUUUGCACUCAGCUGCAACGUCUUUUUUGGACUGAAACAAAAAAAUCCUGCCACAUGGCCGACAUCACUUCUACUUCUUGUAAGUUCUUGUGAUUCCGGCUGUCCCACAAACGGAUCCGAUAGGAAUGGUGUACAGCUAAAAAUUACCACCGUUCCGGAUGCGGUGGAAAUCCCAGGUUAGCCGAAGAGACAGCCCAAGCUAGUUGUGGGUGGCUGUGUUACAACUCAGAUACAGUAUAUGGUGCCAUUUAAGCCCAAUAUUAGUAAAAAAAAAAAAAAUAAUACAUAAUUUACAGACCUCCUUGUCACCCCAGGAGCCAAUCAGGAAGGGUCACAAUGAUCAACCAUCAAAUAUUAUAUGUAUAUAUUAAUUUGAAAGCUACAAAAGCUACACCUAAAUUCCCCUUCUUAUGUCAUAUUUGUGUCUGCAACAAAAAAAACAACAAGAAUAAACACAAAAGGAUUUUCUUUCUUUACUUGGUGGACAAAAAUAGUUUUUUUUAGUGUCCUGCCAGCAACCUUUCAAUGCACUGUACAAUCAAUGAAACCCAAGAUCUGUUUCCCACAGUACUGAUGACACACACAGACAACCAUCCACCCACACGUCAGGAUACACACAAACACAACACCGGCAACACCUACAUCUAUCAAAGUGGAUGCAGCCUCGGAAACAGACCAGCAGACAGACAGAAAGAUGAGGUGAACGUCUGAUUCUGAGUGUAAGCAGAAAAAGGAGGCAGACGUCAAAGUAGGGUAACAAGACACAAUAAAACCUGUCUCCUAUAUCUCAAAACUUCAUCUACGUCUCUCCGUUUGCUUUGCUGCAAAGGUAGCAGGAAGUAUCACAAGCACCGUCCAGUUUUUACUCCAACUAUUAUCCAUGAGCAGUUGGCAGAAACAGAUGAGACACAUGUGGAAAUGAGCGAUAAAGAGACAAACUGUCUGAGGGGCUUGUUAACACGCUAGAAACACUGGAGCUGCAAAGUUCCUUCAAUUAUUCUUUUUUUUUGGCUGGGUCUUUGCAAAAAAAAAAAAGAUCCCAAAUUCCUCCCAUUAAUAUUGGGGAAGCGGGCUAAUCGGAUCAGAGGAGGCAUUUAGUUUGAGUUAUGACUGCUCCGAGGAGGAUUUUGUAAGAGACUCUGAGUCAGAGUUUCACUCUUCCUUCCCACAAGAGCUGCUUAAAUGUUUUAUCAUCAGUCAUUUUUAAUAAAUAAUGAACUGUGGCAAAGUCUGUGUCUCCUUUGUGUGUUUCUUUUUGUCUUUUUAAACCAUCCUGUAAUAUUGCUUUACUUAAACAUGCAUUGGCUAUCUGUAUCUUUUAGAGUAGAUUUUAAGGUUCUUUUAUUAGUUUUUAAAGCUCUUCAUGGUCUUGACUGAUUUGCUUUUACUGUAUGAGCCUAGUAGAGCCCUCGGGUCUUCAGGUAGUGUCUUUUAAUUGUUCCCAAAGUAAAAACUAAAUCAUCGUUCCAAUAUGACAGUCCCCAUCUGUGGAACAGCCUACCUGCAGACCUGAGAGCGACGCCUAAUGUUCAUAUUUUUAAAAGUAAACUCAAGACUUACCUUUUUAGUCUGGCUUUUAGUUGGAAUAGAAUAGAAUAUUCCUGUAUUGAUUCCCCAUGGGGGGAAUUUUUUGGCCACAGUAGCAUCACAGACAAAGAUAGUGCAAAAAUGCAGUUAUAAAAAUAAAGAUAGUAAUAUUAAGAGCUUAAUUAAAUGUUAUAAUUAAGAAAAAAUUUAGAAAAAGGAAAAAUGUUGUUUUAUUCUUUUAAUCUGCAUUAUGUGAUUUUACCGUAUUUAAGUCCCAGAGUAACUAUUUUGUGUUUUAUUACCUCUUUUUUGAAAUUUAUUUUGUUAUUGUUAUAUUUAACUCUUUAUCACCUUUAUUAUAUUUUAUCAUGGUUUUAUCAUUAUAGUCCUAGGUCCAGUGUUUCCUCAUCUUUUUUUAACUCAAGAUAGUUUCCUCAGUCAUCUGUGGCAAGCUAAAGAGUCCUUUCCUGGUCUUUUGUGUAUGCAUCUGUGUGUGUGUGUGUGUGUGUGUGAGUGUGUGAGUGCUUUAUGUGUUAAAUAGGGGUUGGGAGGGUGGUCGAGGUUGGCAUUUGUAUUUUUAUUUAUUUCAUUUCAUUGUUUUUAGUAUCCUGCUUGAAUGGACAGCACUUUGUGAUACAUUCUAUGUUUGAAAAUUGCUUUAAAAAUAAAGUUUGAUUGAUUGAUUCAAUAUGAGAUUGUGGAACAGAGGUUAAACCUAAAAAACAAAACAAAACAAAAAAUCUCAUCAAAUUAGUGAAAAACAAAACACAGAAAAACCUCACAACAACUUUCAAAGACGCCCCCGAUUUUCCUCAGAGCACAAACUAAUCAAUAAGAGAGCAGAGACACACGAACACAUAAGCUCUGAUCUCCAGCUAAUUACUACUUUGAACUGAAGUAAGAAAAAACUUUAUAUUUUAAAUUAUAAGUAAACAUGUUCAAACUUCCAGAAAAAGCCCCAAAGCGUUUAACUCAAUCAGAAAACAGGCACAAACAUCCACAAAAAGACCAAAAGCAGCUAUAUAUCCACUCCAAAAAUAACCCCAUUAUCUGCCGAUCAAUCAGGGAAACAACAAAGCCAAUCAAUACUAUUGAUGAACCUGACAGGAUAGCUCAAUUAGCCGGCACUUCUCACCAUCCAGGGUUCGAAUAACACCUCUGAUUUUAUCACCUACAGCCUGAUUUUUCCCUCAUGGGAGCGCAGAGGUGGUGUGUUUAAAUGAGUCUCCACAUGACAGGAGGACUGAUGCCGAGAUCUGUUUCACCAAGUCAAAAGAAAGACACGCUCGCCACAUAAAACAACAGUCCCCCCUGGAGACUUUAAAGCAAACACAACCUGCGUUUGAUU